rnacentral:rRNA from 1 species
UCAGAGGAAUUUGUCUAUUUAUCGUAAAUACUCGUUUAUUUUCACUUUUUUUUAUAUUUUCUAUACCGCCGUCUUAAGAUAAAAAUUUAAGUUUUUAUCUCUAACUCUUUUGGUAAGUCAGGUCAAGGUGGAGAUUAUAAGAAAGGUUAGAUUAAUUAUUUAUAAAUGUAAUUUAAAGCCAGUUUUCUAAAGAAAACUGAAAUAAAGAUUUGAAAGUAGCUUUCAAUUAAAGAUUUAAAACGAACUUGUUUUAGGUGUACAUAUCGCCCGUCACCCUCGUCUAAAGAUGAGGUAAGUCGUAACACAGUUAGUGUACUGGAAAGUGCACUAAGGGAAAUUAAAAGCUUUAGCGUUUCAUUUACACAGAAAAGAUAGUUUAUCAAAUUUUAUAAUCUUUAUCUAACUAAAUUAUUAUUUAUUUCUUUUUUCUAAUCAUUUUAAUAAAAUAACCGUAAGGGGCUUUCAAAUUGUCCCCAAGAAAUUUUUUAAUUUACCUUUUGUAUCAGGGUGUAUCAAACUUUUUUUUGGAACAGAUUUUCCCGAAAUAAAAUGAGCUACUUCAUUUUUUAUAUUUUGUAGCAAAAAAAUAGUAAAAAUUUAGUAGAAGUGAAAUUCCAUUCGUAUUUUCUUUUAUCUGGUUUUUUCAAAUAGUAGAAAUACUUUUACCUAAAAAGGGACAAUCUUUUUUAAUAAUUUAUUGUCAAACUUCACUUACUCAUUUAGGAUUAGAAGUGUCUUUUUGUGUAAAAACUUUUAUUUCAUUUCUUCAGGCAAAUUUUAUUAUGAAAAUUUUAUUUAUUUUUGUUGAUAAUGACUCAAUCAGUAAAGAUCUAUUUAUUCUUUUUAAUUAAAUUUAAUAAAACGAUUUUUUUAAUUUCUUUUCAUUAACUUGGCUAAGUUUUCUGACUGUUUACCAAAAACAUUUCUGAACGACUGUUCUUUUCAGUAAGGCCUGCUCAAUGAUAUUUUCAAUAGCCGCAAUUACGUGCUAAGGUAGCAUAAUCACUUGCCUUAUAAUUUAAGGCUAGCAUGAAAGGUCUAACAUGAUAACUUCUUUGUUAAUUCAAUUUCUAGAAUUUUACUUAUAAGUAAAAAGGCUUAUAUUCAGAAGGGGGACGACAAGACCCUAACGAGCUUUACUUUUUAGUUUAACUGGGGUGGUAAAAAACUAAAUCUUUUUGCUUUAUUUCUUAUUAUCCUUAUAUUAAGACUUUAAGUUACCGUAGGGAUAACAGCAUAAUUUUUUUCUAGAGACCUUAUCUAAAAAGAAGAUUGUGACCUCGAUGUUGAAUUAAUU